UAGGGAAUCUUCCGCAAUGGGCGAAAGCCUGACGGAGCAACGCCGCGUGAGUGAUGAAGGUCUUCGGAUCGUAAAACUCUGUUAUUAGGGAAGAACAAAUGUGUAAGUAACUAUGCACGUCUUGACGGUACCUAAUCAGAAAGCCACGGCUAACUACGUGCCAGCAGCCGCGGUAAUACGUAGGUGGCAAGCGUUAUCCGGCAUUAUUGGGCGUAAAGCGCGCGUAGGCGGUUUUUUAAGUCUGAUGUGAAAGCCCACGGCUCAACCGUGGAGGGUCAUUGGAAACUGGAAAACUUGAGUGCAGAAGAGGAAAGUGGAAUUCCAAGUGUAGCGGUGAAAUGCGCAGAGAUAUGGAGGAACACCAGUGGCGAAGGCGACUUUCUGGUCUGUAACUGACGCUGAUGUGCGAAAGCGUGGGGAUCAAACAGG
rnacentral:rRNA from 1 species